GAACACAGUGCAAGGAGCCAUGCUGUGACACAGUGUCCUGGAUGACAUCUGCUGGAGAUGGACCAAACCGUGCAUUUGACACAGGUAGGGGCACGCAUGGCCGAGCACUCGCUGUCACAGUGGGAAGAAUUUAUGUUUGCAUUUGCCUCUCGUCCCUUCUCACAUAUGGUCUUCCAGGCCUUUGGGAAUUCCAUGGAGAAGGGGAAGGAGAGUUCUGAAAGGAGCUUGCCGUGCCAAGGGAGCCAGUGCUGAAUAAAGAUGAGCUUGCCAUUCCUCCCUGACUCACAGCAAUAGGUAAGCCAGUCCAGAAAAUCCCUCAAAGACAUGCCAAGAGAUGUAUCUCCAAAGUGAUUCUGGGUUCUGUCAAGUUGACAAUCAAGAUCAACCAUCACAAAUGUAAAUCAUGAUGUCAAGAGGGGAUCCUCAAGCCAUCUGAGUUCCCAGGGAGAAUACCUACAGCCCAAGUGAACAUUGUGUCAGAAGAGUAAAAACAGAAAACUUUAACAAUGUGAACGGAGCGUUGAUAAAAUAGGAUCAGAGGUCCCUAUAAAAAGGUGCCAGACCCUCUGGAGUUGGCAUUCCAGACAGCUGCGAGUCUACCCUAUGUAAGUGCUGGUGACUGAGUUCCUGUGCUUUGCAAGAAAAGUAAGCUCUCUUAACCACUGUGCCAUCUCUCUAAACCUGUUGUUGUUGUUGU